UCCCCUGAGCUGCUGGUUUGUACCUCUUCCCAGGAUUUCCAGCACUCUGUCACUGAAAUAUCACUGUUAUGUUUGAGAAUAUUUAAGAAACAUUUGAGCUCUACAGCCAAAUCCAAACCCUGUGGCUGCUGCUGGACUUCUGUGCACCACCACCAUGAGUGUUUGUGUGGGGAGCUGAAGAGAUGUGCUCAACUCAGAAAUAGCUCUAUUCCUUGGAAAGCUGGAGGGCUGAAUCACACUGUGUUGGCUCAGUUUUUAGCAGACAAGCCAUCACAUAUGCCUCCCUGUAGGCGCAGAGUCGUCACUGGCAUCAGGAUUAGCAGCCAGGUUUUUACCUUUGGAAACCAGGGAAUAAUGAUGCAGAAGGCUAAAGUUGAUUGUAAGGAGGCUGCCCAGGGCUGGGGGCUUGGGGAGGUGGGUUGACAACACUGGGAGCAGGAAGGGUCUGGUCAUGUCCCUGCUUGGCCUGCUCUGGUCCCUCUGUUCAAAAGGAGCCAGCUAACGUGCCCCCAAAUUGAACUUUGGGGACUGAAUAAGUUAUUUUGCUCAGAGGCAUUAACCACUCCACUGCUGCCUGUGAAGCUGAGACAAGUAGAGCCAGCCCUGAGCAUAUCCACAGCUGAUGUUGUCCUGAGUCCACUGAAAAUACGAGUGACAAACAGUGGAGAAAUAGGAACACUGGAGAAAAAUGUGGAAAGCUGGGAGGGGACAAGACAGCUCCUGAGCUGAGACACCUGAACCUGAAAGCACCAGGGAGACACCACUGGCUUGACAGACACUGGGGAACUUAAGAGAACCUGCAGAGUCCACCUGCUAACGAGCACAGAAAUGCAAAUAUACACAGACACUUUUUUUUUUCUGGAACAGAAUGUAUCUCCUUAAACACGUGCCACUGCUGAUUCCCAGCAGUCCAGAGGAAGUCUUGGGGGAAAAGGGGAUGAGGGAACUAGUGCAAAGUUUUUGAAGUCUUGGAGGAAAAGCGGAUGAGGGAACUAAUGCAAAGUUUCUGCAGUUAGCACAAGAAGCAAAUUACAGAUAUGGAUUUUAAAAUGCUUCAGAGACACGGGAUUUUUUUUGAGCUACAGUUUUGGACUCAGUAGUCCACUACUGCAGUAAUGCUAAUUAUCAAGCCUCCCCUUCAAGUUCAGGAUUCAAGCGCUGCCACAGAUGCAAGAAAAGUGGAUUGGGAGUUCCUGAACCAACUGGUUGCUGACCAUGAGUCAGGGGAAUGACCUUGCAGCAGGCAGCUCGCCGUGCCGCUCUCGGAGCCGUGCCAGUAUAAACGGCGCUGGCAUCUCUGAGUGCUGGUGGAACCAUUUUGUGAGAUUGAGAUUCCAACUUGGCCUUUCCUGCUGCUGCCUUUGCACUGAAACGUUUGGGUGGGUGAGAAUGGGCCAGAGUGGUCCCUUCUCAUUUUUGUGACGAGGGCAUCUUCACAACCUGGGCUUGGGACCAUCUGUAUCUAUAGGCAGAUGUAUAGAGGAUAUGGACAACUAUCUCUUGCCUACGUACUUGUCCAUUAACAUCAGCAUUACAGAUAUUUAGCAAAUUAAAUCUUACCCUCCCCCACAGCCACACCCAUAUUAAACUGUAAGAAAACCCCGUGAUUAAGUUUUAAAAAACAUACACGGCACCACUGAAUUUUCUGGAUGUGAUUUGUGAGAGGAGCGAGGGUAGAAUACUUGGCAUUUGGUCAUUUUAAUUAAUCUUCCCAAAUAAGAAAAACAUUUGCUUGUAGACUUUAAGCUUCUCACAGCAUCAGGAAAGCUCCUGACACCGAGCCCAACGCUGUAUUUGUAUAACAUGGAAAUGAACAGCAGCAGCAGCAGAGCUGCAGGCUCCGAGUCUACUCUGCGAGCUACAAAAUGGCCAGGGGUGCUGUUGUGUUCAUCCGAAUUCCUUCGCCAUUUGGGGCUGUGAAAUAGGUGGAUCCAAUACCCCUGACCCUUCAGGUAUGGUUUGAACCCGUAACAGCGAUACUAAAUUAAUGUUUCUAACCAUAUUCAAGCUUGUGCCCUCAUCAGCCCGACUCCCUGAAGCACAGGCAGGAACCAACAGCAAAAUUCGUCUGCGUCACAGAUGUAACAUGACCAUCGGCAAAACAAGUGCAAGGGGGAGAUCGUGGCUGUCUCGUCACUCACAGAGCCUUCCUCCUCUAGAAAAGAAUAGGAUGGUGAUGCUUUUAGGUUUAUAUCGUCAGCAUUUGCAAUCCUGAACUUCCUCGCCCGAAUUUUGCGGCCCUUGGAAGGGUCAGAGCGCCCGAGAAAAUCGCGUGUGUUUUGUCGGCGAGGGCCGGCGCGUUAACGAACGCUGCGUCAGUGCUGCACCAGGGCCGAGGCACGGAGCAAACCCCACUGCCCAGAGCAAGGAAAGCCAGGCUGGGAAAAAUGAAUCAGCUUACACAAUGGCACACGCACAAGUGUCAGAGGGAGGAAGAAAUCACAGCUUUCCCAAGUCCUUUUGAGGCAAUAUGCAGAAAAUGCUUAUGGAACGGUUAAGCCACGUACAGCUCGCAGUGACAGUGCCACCCCUGUGCACACAGUCGCUGCUGUCCUACAGAAAUAUGCCAUGUCCCCUUCUUAGCCUUGUUUCUUGCCAGUCCCACAGAUUUACCUGCUGACAGUAACCUCAAUUCCUGAGUAAUGAGAUUUACAGCUGAAGUUUAACAUUGAAAUAACUCCUCGUUUAUCUGUGUCUCCUUACCCUCCCUGUGUUCAGUCUCAGUUAAACUAAUUGUGGCAAAAAGAUGGUGGCAAAGGGAAUUAAAUCAGAUACAUCCCUGCACUGAACACUGAAGCAGCUGCCAGUGGCACCUCCUUUAAAGCACUGAGAAAUGUCAUGAAGCAGCACUAGCUUUACAAAUUACGGGGUCCUCCACCCCACAACUGUGACGGGAAAACCACAAAGAGUUGUCCAUGCAACCGACACUCAGGAAAAGAGACUCAACCCACCCGUCUUCCACGCAACCAAGCAAUCGGGGCUUAGUCCAGCUCCCGGCUGUACAGAAUUCCCUCCACAGCUGCCUCGGACUGUUCCUGCAUGUGUGUGUAUUUAUGCCUGUCUGUCUCGCUGCAGGGACCACCGUCGUCGCUGCUAUUCCUGUUGUUCCCCUGCUCUGCGGAUCUGGCGCUGCAGGAGGCAAGGAUGCUCCAAGGGAGCCAGCUACAGCCAGCGAAGGCUCAGUGAGUCAGGAGGGGUUGUGACGACUGCAGCAAGAGUCUGAAAUUCCCUAUGGAAUCUGGCAGAAGAGGAGGGGAAGGAAGAAAGGUGGUGAUGGGAAAGAGGGGAAGAAAAGUGGGGAGUGGCACGUACUGCCUGUCCUGUUCUUCCCUCCCCGUUCCUACCGCCGCAGUGCCGUUGGAAAUGGCGUCCUCCCCUCCGCGGAACUGCGCAAACGGGCGGAAUCCACGAGAAAACCGCAGCGCCUGCGGCCUGCGCCACCAAACCCCCAAAACUCGGUCGGGGCGAGGGUAUGGUGCAAGUAGAGCCCUUCUCUCCUUCCCUCAGAGCACCGUGCAGGGGACAGGCUACAGCUGAAGUGAUGGAGACGGCGGACGCGCUGUGUCUGAGCCGGUUCUGAGCCCAGCGGUUGUUGCUAAACAACCAGCCCUGACGCUUGAGAUGUCAACGAGUGCAAUUCCUGCCCCAAGCCAUUACAGUCCUGCUAACGCUCAACCACCGUAUAAGGGAGAAGAAGGCAAGGAGAAAAGCCCUGAAGCCCAGCGCUUUCCCCUCCGCCGUGGGCUGCAGCUCUGACACGUCAUCGUCGCGGCCGGACGGCGGAACGACACCUCAGGGAGCACCCCUGGAUGUGAGGGCUGGCACCCACCGCCCCGAGGAGUCACCGGCUCCUGUCUGCCUGUGCCCGAGGGACACCUGGAAUCCCGGGAUAUGAGCUGGUGUGGAAGCGUCUGGAAGGCACCGUCUACCUGUCCCCCCCCAGUGCUUUUAAAAACUGGACGACAUGCCCUGCAAUGAUCACUGCGUCACCGUUUGCCACUUUCCGAACUACGCAGUGACAAACCUCCGAGCUCGGAAUCGCAGGGCGCCCGUUAACCCCUCCACCAAACCCUCGCCAGCAUGCCAGCCCUCAGGGAGACGGGGGAGAAUAAAAAGCCCAAACAAACCAGGCAAACAGCAGUCUUUGCAAAGUUGUCAUCUCUCCCCCACGACUACUACCCUCCUCUGCAGUACAGCAAUGCCGGCAGGAGUGACAUUAGUGCAACCUGUGCCAUCGUUCCAUUGAGAAAACAGCUCUGACGCAGAACAGAGCAACCAUACCCAGCCAAAAUAAUAACACAGGCACUUCGGGACCCGAACUUAGGGACGCCGGGGGAGAGGGACGCCCUGCAAACAGAUAAAAUCCGUGGCUGCAGCUCCAGCCCCAUCCUGAUCAAAGGGUACGUACGUGAGAGAGGCGAACCGGACCGAAGAGCUGUGCCCGUGCACCAUCUGCGCAGUCCUCAGCCCUCCGCUCGCUGUGGAGCGCCGCAGAAGAGAAGGUUCCAGAAAUUUCCUUUCCGUUAACCCUUUCGGUGUCUGCCCACUCUCCCUCCCCGCGGGAUUAAGCGCGCCGGGUCUCCAGCAUCGUCAAUGGGCGAAGCCUCCUACGCCAACCGAGCCCGAGUACGACGUCUAAAUGGCAGUGGAUGGUGGCAGGAGCCCAGCCCGAGCGUCUGAAGAGCCUGAGCUAUUUUGGGAUUUGUCUGUACUACACUGAAAAUGACACCUGUUACGCACAGACACAAAUGAGAAGAAUUACAAGCUCCUGGUUUCUCAG